rnacentral:misc_RNA from 1 species
GUGGGAGGGGGCUUGCCCCCGAUAGCUGAGUGUCAGUCAAUGAUGUUGUGAUUGACCCACCGCCAUCGGGGGCAAGCCCCCUCCCAC